UAGUCCACGCUGUAAACGAUGUCUACUAGCUGUUUGUGGUUUUAUACCGUGAGUAGCGCAGCUAACGCACUAAGUAGACCGCCUGGGGAGUACGGCCGCAAGGUUAAAACUCAAAUGAAUUGACGGGGGCCCGCACAAGCGGUGGAGCAUGUGGUUUAAUUCGAUGCAACGCGAAGAACCUUACCAUCCCUUGACAUCCAGAGAAUCUGUUAGAGAUAGUAGAGUGCCUUCGGGAACUCUGAGACAGGUGCUGCAUGGCUGUCGUCAGCUCGUGUCGUGAGAUGUUCGGUUAAGUCCGGCAACGAGCGCAACCCACGUCCUUAGUUACCAGCAUUUAGUUGGGUACUCUAGGGAGACCGCCGGUGAUAAGCCGGAGGAAGGUGUGGAUGACGUCAAGUCCUCAUGGCCCUUACGUCCAGGGCUACACACGUGCUACAAUGGAUAAUACAGAGGGUUGCUAAGCCGCGAGGUGGAGCCAAUCCCAUAAAUUAUUCUAAGUUCGGAUCG
rnacentral:rRNA from 1 species